UGAAGAUGAGACUAAGAGAGAAGAUGGGAGAGAUGAGUAACAAAAGUGAAAAAAAAAUCUUGAAAGUGAACAAUUUCAAAUAUAUUUGAGCUUUUAGUUUUUGUUUCUACUUUCGUUACUCCUCCCUCCCAUCCUCUCCUCUCAAUCUCAUCUCCAU
rnacentral:miRNA from 1 species